CCAAACUGUUGCCUCGGCGGGAUCUCUGCCCCGGGUGCGUCGCAGCCCCGGACCAAGGCGCCCGCCGGAGGACCAACCAAAACUCUUUUUGUAUACCCCCUCGCGGGUUUUUUUAUAAUCUGAGCCUUCUCGGCGCCUCUCGUAGGCGUUUCGAAAAUGAAUCAAAACUUUCAACAACGGAUCUCUUGGUUCUGGCAUCGAUGAAGAACGCAGCGAAAUGCGAUAAGUAAUGUGAAUUGCAGAAUUCAGUGAAUCAUCGAAUCUUUGAACGCACAUUGCGCCCGCCAGUAUUCUGGCGGGCAUGCCUGUCCGAGCGUCAUUUCAACCCUCGAACCCCUCCGGGGGGUCGGCGUUGGGGAUCGGCCCUGCCUUGGCGGUGGCCGUCUCCGAAAUACAGUGGCGGUCUCGCCGCAGCCUCUCCUGCGCAGUAGUUUGCACACUCGCAUCGGGAGCGCGGCGCGUCCACAGCCGUUAAACACCCAACUUCUGAAAUGUUGACCUCGGAUCAGGUAGGAAUACCCGCUGAACUUAAGCAUAUCAAUAAGCGGAGGA
rnacentral:rRNA from 1 species